UACGUAGGGGGCAAGCGUUGUCCGGAAUCAUUGGGCGUAAAGCGCGUGUAGGCGGCCCGAUAAGUCGGCGGGGAAAGUCCAGGGCUCAACCCUGGAAUGCCGGUGGAUACUGUCGGGCUCGAGUCCGGAAGAGGCGAGUGGAAUUCCUGGUGUAGCGGUGAAAUGCGCAGAUAUCAGGAGGAACACCGAUGGCGAAGGCAGCACUCUGGGACGUGACUGACGCUGAGACGCGAAAGCGUGGGGAGCAAACAGG
rnacentral:rRNA from 1 species